AGUUCGAUCCUGGCUCAGGAUGAACGCUGGCGGCGUGCUUAACACCCGCAAGUCGAACGGAGAUAUCAUUUUCGAAGCGAUUAGUUUACUAAGAGUGGAGAUGUUGGUAUCUUAGUGGCGGACGGGUGAGUAACGCGUGGGUAACCUGCCUUACACUGGGGGAUAACACUUAGAAAUAGGUGCUAAUACCGCAUAACAGGGAAAGAUGCAUGUCUUUUCCUUGAAAACUCCGGUGGUGUAAGAUGGACCCGCGUCUGAUUAGCUGGUUGGCGGGGUAACGGCCCACCAAGGCGACGAUCAGUAGCCGGCCUGAGAGGGUGAACGGCCACAUUGGGACUGAGACACGGCCCAAACUCCUACGGGAGGCAGCAGUGGGGAAUAUUGGACAAUGGGGGGAACCCUGAUCCAGCGACGCCGCGUGAGUGAAGAAGUAUUUCGGUAUGUAAAGCUCUAUCAGCAGGGAAGAAAGAAAUGACGGUACCUGACUAAGAAGCCCCGGCUAACUACGUGCCAGCAGCCGCGGUAAUACGUAGGGGGCAAGCGUUAUCCGGAUUUACUGGGUGUAAAGGGAGCGUAGACGGCGAUGCAAGUCUGAAGUGAAAGGCGGGGGCCCAACCCCCGGACUGCUUUGG
rnacentral:rRNA from 1 species